UUCCCCGCCCCCACUUCUAGGCUUGGUUGAGCCGCGCAGGAAGGUCCGAGGCUGGGGGAGCAGCCGUUGGCUCUGGUGCCCCUGGGGGUGGGAGCACGAGUGGGCAAGGAUGAUGGUGAGGCAGAGGAGGCGGCCCCGAGGGAGCGCCCGGCUGAGAGGCGGGGGGCCGAGGGGCCCGGGGAGCGGGCGUCACCGAGGGCCCUGGAAGCGGCAGGGCUGGGGGAGAGGAGACGCGUGUGUGGAGCAUGGGGACCCCAGCCCAGCUCCCACUUGCAGACCUGGGCCGCGGGCUGCCGGCCGAGUGGCCGGGGGGCCUGGCUGCCCAGGAGGCGGGCCGGGGCCGCGGCCGGGGGCGCGGAGCGGAGUUAGGGUCGCCAGGCCGAGCCGAGGUGGGACGGACCGACGCAGAGAGGAAGGGAAGCCACCUGGCCUGAAGAUCCUGUCUCUAAGAUCCCAUUCUGAGGUCCACGCUGCUUUUAUGAGCUGUAACACUCACCGCGAAGAUCUGCAGCUUCACUCCUGAGCCCAGCGAGACCACGAGCCCACCGGGAGGAACAAACAACUCCAGACGCGCUGCCUUAAGAGCUGUAACACUUGCCGUGAAGGUCUGCAGCUUCACUCCUGAGCCAGCGAGACCACGAACCCACCAGAAGGAAGAAACUCCGAACACAUCUCAACAUCAGAACGGACAGACUCCAGACGCACCACCUUAAGAGCUGUAACACUCACCGCGAGGUUCCGCGGCUUCAUUCUUGAAGUCAGUAAGACCAAGAACCCACCAAUUCCGGACACAGUAGCAUUUGGGAAUAAUAAGAAUUGUAGCUGGGCAUGGUGGUACACGCCUGUAGACCCCUAGCAGCUGCCAUCAUCCUCACCAUCCGCAUAUUAUUGAUAUAUUAACUCUUUGAUGGCAACCAUAGCUUAUCCCCCUUAUCUCCCUAUGCCCUACAGCAGGGCAGUGGAAUGGUUAAGAGGCUUUGAAGUCUAAGAGUGCUGGCUUAAAACCCUAAUUUGUCAUUUUGGAUGUGUGGCUUUGGACACUUGGGGCAGGUCACCUAUGUUCUUCAAGCCCUGUAUCCUUAUCUGUCAGAUGAUGAUUUUUUUUUUUUUAGACGAAGUCUCACUCUCUUGCCCGGGCUGGAGUGCAGUGGCAUGAUCUCGGCUUACUGCAAGCUCCACCUCCCGGGUUGACGCCAUUCUCCUGCCUCAGCUUCCUGAGUAGCUGGGACUACAGGCUCCUGCCACCACCCGUGGCUAAUUUUUUUGUAUUUUUAGUAGAGACAGGGUUUCACCAUGUUAGCCAGGAUGGUCUCGAUCUCCUGACCUCGUGAUCUGCCCGCCCCAGCCUCCCAAAGUAUCAGAUGAUUUUAACAACUAUGCUUCCAUGACUUGCUGGGCUAGAUGAUAUGACUGUAAAAUGCCUAACCCAUGGUUUAGCAUCAAGUAAGCAAAUUGUAAAUGGUAGCACUGCUCUGCCUAUGACUAUUUAGUCUUGUGCUUUAAACUCAAAUAUUUGUUGGCCUACUGAAGUCACCACACAGAGAAAGAUGCUUUUCAUUCUCAGUAAAGAACUUUGGGAGAUAACUGGGGCAGGCAGCAAGAGAACAGAUGUCAUAUGUCUAGCAUCAGCAAACUCAUCAGAACUGAUGGGCAGCUCACUUUGCUUAGAACCUGCACCAGCAUACACACGGGGCUGCUUCCCAGUCACACUGCUCCUGGGAAGGUAGGGGGGCUGCUGUUCUGCAAUUAGCGCGGUUCUUUACCUCCUAUUACCGAACUGCCAGAGUUCAUUUGUGUUCAGUUAGGUAGAUGACCAAUUCUUGUUCAUUCCUAUUUUCUUUUGCUCACUAAUGUGUUUAACGUUCACUAACCUACCAAAUGUGAUUUAUUAGCGACUUUUUCUUUGAAGAUGGAGUGGAGGAAUCCUAGCGCUUUCUGCAACAUGCUACUGCUGUUAUGGAACAGUGCAGAUAUGGAAGUGCAUCAGCCGGGGAUGGGGAGAGGCUAGGGCAGUACAUGUGAAUGGAGAGGUAGCCCCACCAGUGUGUUUUCUGAAAUACAGUCCCGCAGAGGGCAGUCUUGGGAAAUUACUGUUCUCACACACUCUUCUUGACCCUACCCCUCCAGCACCU
rnacentral:lncRNA from 1 species